ACCGAGGUCAGGCAUCUCUCUCUCUCUCUCCCUCUCUCCGCCGCGCCGUUUAGCAAACAUUUGCGGAACGCGCGUGCCUUAAACUCCCAAUUGCAGGUAGCAUACUGAUCCCAAGAGACGCAGACCUACAAAAAUGGCAAUUUCGACAGCAGCGGAGGCGCCCGCGCGCUGGUGGGAAAACAUCUUUUUUUGCGCGCGGAGAGGACAGGGAGAGAGAGAGGAUGAUGAAGCUGUCAUUAUCAAAUUAGAUU
ensembl:ncRNA F49B2.8 ncRNA